CGAAUGGAGCAUGAACCAGUCGAAGCGACGAGCUGGCUGCAACUGUUUAAUAAAAACACAGCACUCUGCAAACACGAAAGUGGACGUAUAGGGUGUGAUGCCUGCCCGGUGCUGGAAGGUUAAUUGAUGGUGUUAUCGAAAGAGAAGCACCUGAUCGAAGCCCCAGUAAACGGCGGCCGUAACUAUAACGGUCCUAAGGUAGCGAAAUUCCUUGUCGGGUAAGUUCCGACCUGCACGAAUGGCAUAAUGAUGGCCAGGCUGUCUCCACCCGAGACUCAGUGAAAUUGAAAUCGCCGUGAAGAUGCGGUGUACCCGCGGCUAGACGGAAAGACCCCGUGAACCUUUACUAUAGCUUGACACUGAACCUUGAAUUUUAAUGUGUAGGAUAGGUGGGAGACUAAGAAGCGGUAACGCCAGUUAUCGUGGAGUCGAUGUUGAAAUACCACCCUUUAACGUUUGAUGUUCUAACGAGGCGCCUGGGACAGGUGUUCGGACAGUGUCUGGUGGGUAGUUUGACUGGGGCGGUCUCCUCCCAAAGCGUAACGGAGGAGCACGAAGGUUGGCUAAUGACGGUCGGACAUCGUCAGGUUAGUGCAAUGGUAGAAGCCAGCUUAACUGCGAGACGGACAAGUCGAGCAGGUACGAAAGUAGGUCAUAGUGAUCCGGUGGUUCUGAAUGGAAGGGCCAUCGCUCAACGGAUAAAAGGUACUCCGGGGAUAACAGGCUGAUACCGCCCAAGAGUUCAUAUCGACGGCGGUGUUUGGCACCUCGAUGUCGGCUCAUCACAUCCUGGGGCUGAAGUAGGUCCCAAGGGUAUGGCUGUUCGCCAUUUAAAGUGGUACGCGAGCUGGGUUUAGAACGUCGUGAGACAGUUCGGUCCCUAUCUGCCGUGGGCGUUGGAGGAUUGAGGGGGGUUGCUCCUAGUACGAGAGGACCGGAGUGAACGCACCGCUGGUGUUCCAGUUGUUUCGCCAGAAGCAUAGCUGGGUAGCUAAGUGCGGAAGAGAUAAGUGCUGAAAGCAUCUAAGCACGAAACUUGCCCCGAGAUGAGUUCUCCCAGUCUAAGAGACUGUAAGGGUUGUUGAAGACGACGACGUAGAUAGGUGGGGUGUGUAAGCGGUGUGAGCCGUUGAGCUAACCCAUACUAAUUGCCCGAGAGGCUUAACUAUACAACGCUGAAGGGUUUU
rnacentral:rRNA from 1 species